UACGGAGGGUGCAAGCAUUGAUCGGAAUUACUGGGCGUAAAGGGCGCGUAGGCGGUCUAGGAAGUCAGAUGUGAAAUUUCGGGGCUCAACCCCGAAGCUGCAUUUGAAACUUUUAGGCUAGAGGGUAAUUAGGGAAAACGGAAUUCCACGUGUAGCGGUGAAAUGCGUAGAUAUGUGGAAGAACACCGGUGGUGAAGACGGUUUUCUGGGUUAUACCUGACGCUGAGGCGCGAAAGCUAGGGGAGCAAAC
rnacentral:rRNA from 1 species